rnacentral:rRNA from 1 species
UGGGGAAUUUUGGACAAUGGGCGAAAGCCUGAUCCAGCAAUGCCGCGUGUGUGAAGAAGGCCUUCGGGUUGUAAAGCACUUUUGUCCGGAAAGAAAUCCUUGGCUCUAAUACAGUCGGGGGAUGACGGUACCGGAAGAAUAAGCACCGGCUAACUACGUGCCAGCAGCCGCGGUAAUACGUAGGGUGCAAGCGUUAAUCGGAAUUACUGGGCGUAAAGCGUGCGCAGGCGGUUUGCUAAGACCGAUGUGAAAUCCCCGGGCUCAACCUGGGAACUGCAUUGGUGACUGGCAGGCUAGAGUAUGGCAGAGGGGGGUAGAAUUCCACGUGUAGCAGUGAAAUGCGUAGAGAUGUGGAGGAAUACCGAUGGCGAAGGCAGCCCCCUGGGCCAAUACUGACGCUCAUGCACGAAAGCGUGGGGGAGCAAAACAGGAUUAGAUACCCUGGUAGUCCACGCCCUAAACGAUGUCAACUAGUUGUUGGGGAUUCAUUUCCUUAGUAACGUAGCUAACGCGUGAAGUUGACCGCCUGGGGAGUACGUCGCAAGAUUAAAACUCAAAGGAAUUG